GACGUAGGGCGCGAGCGUUGUCCGGAUUUAUUGGGCGUAAAGAGCUCGUAGGCGGCUUGUUGCGUCGGCUGUGAAAUCCCAUGGCUCAACUGUGGGCUUGCAGCCGAUACGGGCGGGCUAGAGUUCGGUAGGGGAGACUGGAAUUCCUGGUGUAGCGGUGAAAUGCGUAGAGAUCGGGAAGAACAUCAGUGGCGAAGGCGGCCUGCUGGGCUGUUGCUGACGCUGAGGCGCGACAGCGUGGGGAGCAAACAGG
rnacentral:rRNA from 1 species